AAUCAACGCUGGCGGCGUGCCUAACACAUGCAAGUCGAACGCGAAGACCCAGCAAUGGGUUUGUAGCGUGGCAAACGGGUGAGUAACGCGUGGGCGACCUACCCUCGAGUGGGGGAUAACCUUCCGAAAGGAGGGCUAAUACCGCAUAACAUCCCGUGUUUGGAUACACGGAGAUCAAAGCCGGGGAUCGCAAGACCUGGCGCUUGAAGAGGGGCCCGCGUCCGAUUAGCUAGUUGGCGAGGUAACGGCUCACCAAGGCUCCGAUCGGUA
rnacentral:rRNA from 1 species